UACGGAAGGGGCAAGCGUUGUUCGGAAUUAUUGGGCGUAAAGGGCGCGUAGGUGGUCUUGCGUGUCUACCGUGAAAGCGUACGGCUCAACCGUAUUUAGUCGGUAGAAACUGCAGGACUUGAGGCUGGGAGGGGCUGGUGGAAUUCCCUGUGUAGCGGUGAAAUGCGUAGAGAUGGGGGAGAACACUCGUGGCGAAGGCGGCCAGCUAGACCAGUACUGACACUGAGGCGCGAUAGCGUGGGGAGCAAACAGG
rnacentral:rRNA from 1 species